GCUGAAUCUCACGCCUCUGGUCUCUGAGCAGAAACUUUACUUGGGAACGUUACAGAGUUUCACUCCCGGCAGGCAACACUUUCCACGGUUAUUAUAAAAUCUGUGUCAUUUAUCUCAAAUGUUUUUAUUCUUUUUCCAUUUUGGGAUUUCAUUGAGUUAGUAUCUAGAAGUCAUGAAACAUGCACAAAAUAUCUUAUUUUACAGAAAUAUAAAAGCAGCAAAUGUUUAAAAAAAAUGAAGCAGAAAAUCAACUUAAAUACAAGAUAUAAAAGACAAAUCGCUUGCCUAGAACGAGAAACAUCGUUAAGAAAUCUGCAGAAAUCUCCGAAAGUGCCCCAAUCCCAUGUUCCCUGUUCUAUGAGUGAGUUAUUGCUCACUCUCCCUAUUAAAGUUUAAAACCCAAACAUUUGUGUUUUCUAUUUUUUUCUUC